GUGUGUGUGUGUGAGUCUAUCAUACAGUGGCUGGGAGGUGUGUGUGUGUGAGGUGUGUGCGUGUGAGUAUCAUACAGUGGCUGGGAGGUGUGUGUGUGUGAGGUGUGUGUGUGUGAGGCAGAAAGGCCUUCAGCCCGGGAGGAGGACUGGGCCCGUCCCCUGGCUGUGACGUCACGGUAACCGUCUCCUCAACCCCAGGGUGACGAGGUGGUAGUGGCAGCAUGUCUGCGUAGCGAUGGGCCCCAUGCUGCUGUCACCCGGGCCCCUCCGGGAGCCCACCUGCCGCACUGGGGGCCAGCCUGCCGCACUGGGGGCCAGCCUGCCGCACUGGGGGCCAGCCUGCCGCACUGGGGGCCCGCCUGCCGCACUGGGGGCCCGCCGCACUGGGCCCCUCCAGAUCCAGGUCUCUCCACCUCCUGAUCCGGUCCUGGUAUUUUGGUCCUGCAUGUGAACAAUCAUAUUCAUAUUUGUCGGCCUAGGACCUACAUGCAGUUAAAUAUGUGUUGUGUUUUAAACACACACACCGACACACACACGUACGCACACACGCACGCGCUAACAAAAAGAUUUUGAUUGGUUCGGUUUUCCAGUUUGGCGAACAAGGGAACAAAGAGCAUGUAGUCAGUGAAUAACGUGUGUAUUAUUAUCCGAUUAUCACGUGCCUUCC
ensembl:lncRNA